CGAGAGAGAGCUUGCUUUCUCGAGCGAGUGGCGAACGGGUGAGUAACGCGUGAGGAACCUGCCUCAAAGAGGGGGACAACAGUUGGAAACGACUGCUAAUACCGCAUAAGCCCACAGGUCGGCAUCGACCAGAGGGAAAAGGAGCAAUCCGCUUUGAGAUGGCCUCGCGUCCGAUUAGCUAGUUGGUGAGGUAAUGGCCCACCAAGGCAACGAUCGGUAGCCGGACUGAGAGGUUGAACGGCCACAUUGGGACUGAGACACGGCCCAGACUCCUACGGGAGGCAGCAGUGGGGAAUAUUGCACAAUGGGGGAAACCCUGAUGCAGCGACGCCGCGUGGAGGAAGAAGGUCUUCGGAUUGUAAACUCCUGUUGUUGAGGAAGAUAAUGACGGUACUCAACAAGGAAGUGACGGCUAACUACGUGCCAGCAGCCGCGGUAAAACGUAGGUCACAAGCGUUGUCCGGAAUUACUGGGUGUAAAGGGAGCGCAGGCGGGAAGACAAGUUGGAAGUGAAAUCUAUGGGCUCAACCCAUAAACUGCUUUCAAAACUGUUUUUCUUGAGUAGUGCAGAGGUAGGCGGAAUUCCCGGUGUAGCGGUGGAAUGCGUAGAUAUCGGGAGGAACACCAGUGGCGAA
rnacentral:rRNA from 1 species